rnacentral:rRNA from 1 species
AUACGUAGGGGGCGAGCGUUGUCCGGCAUGAUUGGGCGUAAAGGGAGCGUAGACGGUUUGGCAAGUCUGAAGUGAAAGCCCAGGGCUUAACCCUGGGACUGCUUUGGAAACUGUUAAACUAGAGUGCAGGAGAGGUAAGUGGACUUCCUAGUGUAGCGGUGAAAUGCGUAGAUAUUAGGAGGAACACCAGUGGCGAAGGCGGCUUACUGGACUGUAACUGACGUUGAGGCUCGAAAGCGUGGGGAGCAAACAGGAUUAGAUACCCUGGUAGUCCACGCUGUAAACGAUGAUUACUAGAUGUUGGGGACUAAGAGUCUUCGGUGUCGCAGCUAACGCAAUAAGUAAUCCACCUGGGGAGUACGUUCGCAAGAAUGAAACUUAAAGGAAUUGACGGGG